UGAGCUGUGAUGGGGAGAAGACAUUGUGUCUUCGAGUCGUUGAUUUCACACUGCCGAGAAAAGCCUCUAGAUAGAAAAUAGGUGCCCGUACCGCAAACCGACACAGGUAGUCAAGAUGAGAAUUCUAAGGUGAGCGAGCGAACUCUCGUUAAGGAACUCGGCAAAAUGACCCCGUAACUUCGGGAGAAGGGGUGCUCUUUAGGGUUAACGCCCAGAAGAGCCGCAGUGAAUAGGCCCAAGCGACUGUUUAUCAAAAACACAGGUCUCUGCUAAACCGUAAGGUGAUGUAUAGGGGCUGACGCCUGCCCGGUGCUGGAAGGUUAAGAGGAGUGGUUAGCUUCUGCGAAGCUACGAAUCGAAGCCCCAGUAAACGGCGGCCGUAACUAUAACGGUCCUAAGGUAGCGAAAUUCCUUGUCGGGUAAGUUCCGACCCGCACGAAAGGCGUAACGAUUUGGGCACUGUCUCAACGAGAGACUCGGUGAAAUCAUAGUACCUGUGAAGAUGCAGGUUACCCGCGACAGGACGGAAAGACCCCGUGGAGCUUUACUGUAGCCUGAUAUUGAAAUUCGGCACAGCUUGUACAGGAUAGGUAGGAGCCUUUGAAACGUGAGCGCUAGCUUACGUGGAGGC
rnacentral:rRNA from 1 species